UUGAUAUUAUUAUUUGUUUUUAGGGUUCUCUGUUUUUGGGGAUGUUGUGGGUGUAAGUUUGUUGUCUCCCCAAUUUUUUUGGGGUCUGUUUGGCCUCACGUUGCAGCAUUUGUAUCUCUUUUGCCUAAUAUUUCACACGUCUUCUGCAAAUAUUUUAUAUUGAUACAUAUUUUCCCAUAUAAAAAAAAUCAUGAUACGUUUACCGUUCAAAUCAAAUUUGAUUGUCUAUUUUAGUUUUGUUGUCCUUGCUUUGAUAAAUGGUCUAUGGUGGAUUAUCAUUCGAAAAUGA
rnacentral:lncRNA from 1 species